GCAGUUCUGAUUUUUGGUGUGUUCGUAAACUUCGAGAAAGAAACUAUUAUUUUUCUUCUGUGGGGUUUUAAGUUUUAUUGAAGGAUUGCGAAAAAUGAUUAAUCGAGGAAUAAAAUAAUAAAAUCAAAAGAUUGAGAUUUAAAAAUCCUAAAAGACCGAUUAUUCAUUCAUUGUGAUGAACCUCAAUGCGCUUCUCUGGCCAUCUACAGAAUUUUCAGUGAAGUAAAAUUUCGAAUCAUACGAGAAGCCGCGAAAAUUUUCGCAAAAUAUUUGAAGCAACUUUUAAAGUUUUCAAAAACAUUCGAAUGUAUCUCCCCAACAUAAAAAAAGGGAAAGAAAUGAUAGAGUUGAAAUCUUCACCAAAGGAGUCAUACGAUACGCAACACAAUCUACGUAAGAGAGAACACAGUCAUCGACUCUUGCAACGAUAUUUCUCACCACCGAUGUUAUGGAACAAUUCUCCUCCCCUUUCUUCAAUCUUCAUUCUACGUUUCUUCGAACAUAUAAAUACUUACUUACGCAUAUACAGGGACGAUAAGAUUAGGUGAAAGGGGAAGAGAUAGUCGAAAAAGGUAGAGUUGUAAGAAUAAAAGAAAUAUAAGAAGAAGAAAAAAGAAAAAGAAGAAGAA